GGAUGUGAGGGCGAUCUGGCUGCGACAUCUGUCACCCCAUUGAUCGCCAGGGUUGAUUCGGCUGAUCUGGCUGGCUAGGCGGGUGUCCCCUUCCUCCCCACUCGGUCGAAGAGGACGACCUUCCCCGAAUAGAGGAGGACUGGUCUUCCGUCAAGGGUAUACGAGUAGCUGCACUCCCCUGCUAGAACCUCCAAACAAGCUCUCAAAGAAAGAAAACUUUAGGGCCUAAAUACAUAUUUAUAAUGACAAAAAGACAGCAUCAACAAAUGGACCUAUGU
ensembl:misc_RNA 7SK 7SK RNA